rnacentral:rRNA from 1 species
AAGGAUGGGAAGUCUGACAUUGAUGCUAAUGAACUUUAUGCGGAGUUGAUGUUUCUUCAAAAUUUCGUGCCAGAGGAAAAUAUUGGGCCAGUUGAAAUUCUAAAGUUUUUGAAGCGGCGUGAUUGUUUCCCCAAUGCAUGUAUUGCAUAUAGAGUUCUGUUGACUAUCCCUUUGACUGUUGCUUCGGCAGAACGGAGCUAUUGAAAAAAAAAGCUAUUGAAGUCCUAUAUGCGCACUACCAUGACACAACAAAGGCUCACUGAUUUGGCCACAAUAGCACUGGAGAGUAAUCUAUUGGACAAGAUUGAUUAUGAGGAUAUUAUUGAGGAUUUUAUUACAAAGAACACUAAAAGAAUGAUGUUGUUUAAGUGA